UUUCCAUACGGGCAGGUACCGUGGGACCAAAGUUUCGAUUGUGCUGAGAACACAGCGUCGUUGUCCAACUGAAUCUUUUGACAACGUCUUUAAACUGAGGUUUCCGCCAUCGACGAGAUUCAUUUCAUCUGGGCAGGUUCCCGGUUCUUCGUCAGAUGCUGCUUGAUUUAAAGUUUUACUGAUGCUCGUUUACGUCAAUCUAAGGUCCAAGUCCACCCCAGCAAUCGGAGCGUCUUUCUUUUCUUCUGGGAGCCUCUAAAUGCACAUUUCACUAUGUUGCCGUUCUUCAGUCAAGACACCGUAAACUGAUGCUUCAUUCGAGGAAGGUGGGAAGUCUGAGAUUUCCAACCUCCGAGCAGGAAACAUCAUUGGAACGCCACUCGAACUAGGAGGCCCUAGUUGCGAAGUCAGGAAAAAACUUCGACUUCACGAGUUGCUUCAAUCAGCCGUCACUCGACAAAAUGCGCUACCCGUCGAAAAGCAGACCGUCAAUAGUAAAACUAAAGAAGGCAGGAUACAGUGUGGUCUAUUUACCUUAGCCCUAGUUUUUCCUCCACUAUUUGAUUGCUUACGAGGAGCCAGGUUUGUUGGAUGUCAAAAUGUCUUUUGAUGGCAAAAAUAAAAAACGCUUGGAAUGCUUUGAGGUCGCAACUGGUACCAUCUGAGUGGGAGAAGUCUUCCUUGAAUGCAGCAUGAGCACGAGUGGCUGAAGUACUCCUCUUGGAUAUUUUUGGGCAUGGGUAUUUUGAACAAUGAUCUGCCUUUUAAAUGUAUUUGACUAUGUUAGAUCGGUUAAUAUCAUUUAUUUUAUUGGUAUGCUAGGAAUGGACCAUUGACUCACACUAGCUUUGCCACUCCGGAGCACUGAAAGUAAUAAAUAACUAAAAAACUGUACGAAAUUUGUUGUAAUCAACUCCACCGACUAAUUUAACCCUUUCUAACUCAAAGAUUAAGCCUAAUGUCUAAAAUUCUGAACUUCUGCUUUAAGCAAAAAUACGCUGAAUUAAGAAAAUGUAAUUUUGUACAGAUGUUAACUCAUUUGCUCCCAAAAACGUAUAAAUAAUGUUCUAUUUUUAAUUGCGUCAGUGUCCCAAAAACGCAUUUAUACGUGUUUUGCGUUUUUUUUGUUUUUUAUUUUGACAAUAGGCAUUGAGAGGUUCCCAUGUAUCUAAGAUACAAUGCACAAAGCUCAAAGCCCAUUUUAAAGCAAUAAAACUGGCCACUAGAGGGCAGGAGCGCAUUUGGUAAGACCCCCAACCCGAUUCAACCAGUGCAGUGUUUGAGUCCUUGCUGCUUGCCGAGCAGAGCCCGCGCCGCCGUGCUCGCUACUCGCGUCCCCUGCACCCUCCAGAGUCCCACACGGAAACGCGCACGGCCAAACCAACCCCCCCCCCCAGGAACACAAGUUCCCCAGGCGAACGAGGCAGUGGUCAUCACAAAAGAAAGACUAGAAAAAAUUCCAUCUUUACGAGACAGGCAGCGAUCAGGGAAAAGUUUAACCCGCUGUCGCGGCCACCACUGUCGCGGUCAUCUCUUUUAGUUAUGUGUAAUUAAAUUGUUACUUUGCUAUCAAAAGCUCUAUUUGUCUGGUUGUUUAUGUUAUUUUGUAAAAAGUUAUUUAAAUUAUGCAUAAUUAUUUUUUUUAAUUGUAUUUUUUUAAUUUACUAUUAUUAGGGCCCGAGCACUAGGCGUGCGAAGGCCCUAUUGUUUUGCAAAGGAUUAUUUUAUUUUUAUUUUUAUUUUUUUUUCAGGGCAAAUGAAAACGGCCAAUUUGGAGGCCUGAACAUGCGCGAAAAGUCACCAAAAUUUGCACAUACGUGCGGAAAAUUCUAAAUUUCGAUAAUAUAACAACGUUGCAAAAAAAUGUAACAAAAUGGCUCAGUGGCGCCCCCUUGAAAUUUUAAAAUUGGCCUAUAACAUUAGGGUUUGUCAGCGUAGAGCAAUGAAAUUUGGGGAGUCUAUACCUUGUCUAAAACCGCUUCAAAAAAGCAUUGGCACCCAUAUUCCAAACCCAACAGGAAAUCGGUUAUUUUGGAUCAAAUAUGAAAUUUUUAUCGAUUUACAGGGUGCACAUUUGAGACCUUUUAGCCGAGGGAGUUAGUUGGAUCAUCUUCAAAAUUGGUGGGACUGUUCAGGAGACAUAUGAGAUCUUAAGUUUCUAAAAUGGUGUGUUUUCAUUCACGGGUCUGACCUGGGCGUGGUGCCAAAGUCGGCCAUUUUUUCGGCAAAACACCGAAUUCAGUAAAUGGCUAAUAAUUCCUUGACACAACUUUCAAUCUUUUUCAUAUCUGCCAUGUAUAUGCGGUAUCCCAGCCUGAACACGACUGCAUUGAAAUAUUACCCAUUAGGCCUAGCGCCCCCUAGUGAGAACAGGAAAUGCCUUUUUUUACGAGACAGGUUCCUCCUCCAAGGGAAAAAAAUCUGUUGACCUCAAACCUGCAUCAGGGGAGCCUUAAGACCUGUGUUCAGGUGCCUGAUGAAAAAUAUUGAGGUUUCGUUGAAGCGGAGGGGUCCAAACAUGAAAGUGAAAAUGAUCGUCAACAAUUUGUCUCGCAAAAUACUUUGAACAGUCAUAACUCAGCAGAUAUACAACAUAUCUGCGCCAAACUUCCCAUGCUUGUUGAGAGUCAUACCCUGAAGGGUCCUGUAGGGGUCAUUUGCAUCAACUCUACAGUGCCAACUAGUGGCGACAGAAAGGAGUUUUAAAAAAGGCAUUUCCUAUUGGGUUUUUUCAACGUAGAGCAAUGAAAUUUGGGGAGUAGAUACCUUAUGCCUAACUGCUCAAAAAAGCCUCUUGCACCCAUAUUCCAAAUCCAACAGAAAAUCGGGUAUUUUGGAUCGAAUGUGAAAUUUCUGUCCAUUUCUAGUACAGUUUACAUUUGGAGGCCUGGACAUGCAUGAAAACUCACCAAAUUUUGCGCAUACAUGCGGCUUUGUGUGGAUUUCGAUAAUCUUGCAACGUUACAAAAAAAUGUAACAAAAUGGCUCAGUGGCGCCCCCUUGAAUUUUUCAAAAAGGCGUUUCCUAUUAGGUUUUUUUUAACGUAGAGCAAUGAAAUUUGGGGAGUCGAUACCUUGUGCAAAACUGCUCCAAAAAGUCCCUUGCACCCAUAUUCCAAACCCAACAGGAAAUCGGGUAUUUUGGAUCGAAUGUGAAAUUUUUAUCAAUUAACAAGGUGCACAUUUGAGACCUUGUCACAGAGGGAAUCAGUUGGAUCAUCUUCAAAAUUGGUUAGACAAUUCAGGAGACAUAUGAAAUCUAAACUUUUCAAAAUGGUGUGUUUUCAUUCAUGGGUCUGACCUGGGCGUGGUGCCAAAGUCGGCCAUUUUUUCGGCAAAAUGACAAAUUCAGUAAAGGACUAAUAGCUCCUUGAAACAACGUUCAAUCUUUUUCAUAUCUGGCAUGUAUGUGCGGCAUCCCACCCUUAACACAAGUGCAUUGAAAUAUUACUCAUUAGGCCUAGCGCCCCCUAGUGGGAACAGGAAAUGCCUUUUUUACGAAACAGGCUCCUCCUCCAAGGAAAAAAAAUCUAUUCACCUCAAACCUGCAUCAGGGGAGCCUUAAGACAUGUGUUCAGGUGCCUGAUGAAAAAUACUGAGGUUUGGUUGAAGCAGAAGGGUCCAACAGGAGAAGUAAAAAUGACUGAAGCCAUUUCGUCUCACCACAAGUUUUGAACAGUCAUAACUUCUACAACAUAUCUGCGCCAAACAUAUCGUGCUUGUUGAGUCAUAGUCUGAAGGGUCCUGUUGUGACGGGAUUUGUCGUUCACUUGAGUAAACGAAUCCAUUCCGGAUCGUUCAGUAAAAAGAUUCGUUCAAACGAAUCGUUCAACGAAUCGUUCGCCCCCCUCAUCUCCCUCCCCGCCCAAAUGAAUCGUUCGGUUAGUGAACGGGAAGUGACGUUGCCGAACGAAUCACCAAAGACCGCUUCGCAGUAUAACUGAACGGGAAGUGACAUUGCUUGGUCCCUCCCUCUCUUCCACAUUGACCACUCGUCGUAGUUUCAGAAAUGAGUGACAGGCGAUAUCAUUCUGCUUUCACAGACAGCCUCGUCUCCCUCCCGCUGCUGCAAAAGCGAGGGAGAACUUCCGCGUAGUCUGUCCUAGUUCUAUGGGCUCAAAGUCAUGGCUCGUGCUUGCAUUUCGAUUGAGGA